AUUGAACGCUGGCGUCAUGCCUUACACAUGCAAGUCGAACGGCAGCACGGAUGCUUGCACCUGGUGACGAGUGGCGAACGGGUGCGUAAUACAUCGGAACGUACCUUAUCGUGGGGGAUAACGCAGCGAAAGCUGUGCUAAUACCGCAUACGCCCUGAGGGGGAAAGCGGGGGAUCGAAAGACCUCGCGCGAUUAGAGCGGCCGAUGCCUGAUUAGCGUGCUGGUGGGGUAAAAGCCCACCAAGGCGACGAUCAGUAGCUGGUCUGAGAGGAAGAACCGCCACACGGGGACUUAGACAGGGCCCAGACUCCGACGGGAGGCAGCAGUGGGGAAGUUUGGACAAUGGGGGCAACCCUGAUCCAGCAAUGCCGCGUGAGUGAAGAAGGCCUUCGGGUUGUAAAGCUCUUUUGUCAGGGAAGAAACACCGGCUCUAACACAGUCCGGGAAUGACGGUACCUGAAGAAUAAGCACCGGCUAACUACGUGCCAGCCGCCGCCGUAA
rnacentral:rRNA from 1 species